AAGUCGUAACAAGGUCUCCGUUGGUGAACCAGCGGAGGGAUCAUUACCGAGCAACGCGCUCCCACACCCCGCGCGCACCGCAUACCGAACGUUGCCUCGGCGGGCUCGCCCCCGCCGGAGGGCCCCUGAAAACCCUGCCCGACCCCGGGCGCGAUACCCUCUGAUUGUGGACGAAGAAAUCGAGUCAAAACUUUCAACAACGGAUCUCUUGGUUCUG
rnacentral:misc_RNA from 1 species